GCUCACUCCGGCAGCGCAUACAAUAAAACCAUAACGAUACAGAGGAGAUUACCAUAGCCCUUGCGUGAGGACAACAUGCAAAUCCAUAAAGUGUUCCCUAUUUUU